rnacentral:rRNA from 1 species
UACGUAGGGUGCAAGCGUUAAUCGGAAUUACUGGGCGUAAAGCGUGCGCAGGCGGUUCGUUAUGUCCGAUGUGAAAGCCCCGAGCUCAACUUGGGAAUGGCAUUGGAAACUGGCGGGCUGGAGUGUGGCAGAGGGGGGUGGAAUUCCACGUGUAGCAGCGAAAUGCGUAGAGAUGUGGAGGAACACCGAUGGCGAAGGCAGCCCCCUGGGCCAACACUGACGCUCAGGCACGAAAGCGUGGGGAGCAAACAGG